UACGUAGGGUGCAAGCGUUGUCCGGAAUUAUUGGGCGUAAAGAGCUCGUAGGCGGUCUGUCGCGUCGGCUGUGAAAACUCGGGGCUCAACCCCGAGCCUGCAGUCGAUACGGGCAGACUAGAGUGCUGUAGGGGAGACUGGAAUUCCUGGUGUAGCGGUGAAAUGCGCAGAUAUCAGGAGGAACACCGGUGGCGAAGGCGGCCGGCUGGGGGUGACCUGACGCUGAGGCGCGAAAGCGUGGGGAGCGAACCGG
rnacentral:rRNA from 1 species